rnacentral:rRNA from 1 species
UACAGAGGUCUCAAGCGUUGUUCGGAUUCAUUGGGCGUAAAGGGUGCGUAGGCGGCGCGGUAAGUCGGGUGUGAAAUCUCGGAGCUUAACUCCGAAACUGCAUUCGAUACUGCCGUGACUCGAGUCCGGUAGGGGAGUGUGGAAUUCCCGGUGUAGCGGUGAAAUGCGCAGAUAUCGGGAGGAACACCCGUAGCGAAGGCGGCACUCUGGGCCGGUACUG